rnacentral:rRNA from 1 species
GGGGGGACGGAGAAGGCUAGGUGGGCCUGGCGACGGUUGUCCAGGUUCAAGUGCGUAGGCUUAAGAGUUAGGUAAAUCCGGCUCUUUCUAAGGCUGAGACACGACGUCGAGCACCUACGGGUGUGAAGUCAUUGAUGCCAUGCUUCCAGGAAAAGCCUCUAAGCUUCAGAUUGUAAGGAAUCGUACCCCAAACCGACACAGGUGGUCGGGUAGAG